GCCAGUGUUGCUCAGUACAUAGAGCGUCAGCCUGCAGACUGAAAUGCCCCAGGUUCGAUUCCUGUCAAGGGCA
rnacentral:tRNA from 1 species